GACGAACGCUGGCGGCGUGCCUAAUACAUGCAAGUUGAGCGCUGAAGGUUGGUACUUGUACCAACUGGAUGAGCAGCGAACGGGUGAGUAACGCGUGGGGAAUCUGCCUUUGAGCGGGGGACAACAUUUGGAAACGAAUGCUAAUACCGCAUAAAAACUUUAAACACAAGUUUUAAGUUUGAAAGAUGCAAUUGCAUCACUCAAAGAUGAUCCCGCGUUGUAUUAGCUAGUUGGUGAGGUAAAGGCUCACCAAGGCGAUGAUACAUAGCCGACCUGAGAGGGUGAACGGCCACAAUGGGACUGAGACACGACCCAAACUCCUACGGGAGGCAGCAGUAGGGAAUCUUCGGCAAUGGACGAAAGUCUGACCGAGCAACGCCGCGUGAGGGAAGAAGGGUUUCGGAUCGUAAAACUCUGUUGGUAGAGAAGAACGUUGGUGAGAGUGGAAAGCUCAUCAAGUGACGGUAACUACCCAGAAAGGGACGGCUAACUACGUG
rnacentral:rRNA from 1 species